rnacentral:rRNA from 1 species
GGCGAACGCUGGCAGCGUGCUUAACACAUGCAAGUCGAACGGAAAGGCCUGCUUUCCCUUGUGGAUUGCGGGUACUCGAGUGGCGAACGGGUGAGUAACACGUGAGUGAUCUGCCCCCAACUUGGGUAUAAGCCUGGGAAACUGGGUCUAAUUCCCGAUAGGACUGCAGGGUGGUGCCUGUGGUGGAAAACGAUUUUCUAGUGGUUGGGGAUGAGCUCGCGGCCUAUCAGCUUGUUGGUGGGGUAAUGGCCUACCAAGGCGGCGACGGGUAGCCGGCCUGAGAGGGUGGACGGCCACAUUGGGACUGAGAUACGGCCCAGACUCCUACGGGAGGCAGCAGUGGGGAAUAUUGCACAAUGGGCGGAAGCCUGAUGCAGCGACGCCGCGUGGGGGAUGACGGCCUUCGGGUUGUAAACUCCUUUCGACCGCGAGGAAGCCACCUGGUUGGAAGGGUGGUGACGGUAGUGGUAGAAGAAGCACCGGCUAACUACGUG